UACGUGCCAGCAGCCGCGGUAAUACGUAGGGUGCGAGCGUUAAUCGGAAAUUACUGGGCGUAAAGCGUGCGCAGGCGGUUCGCUGUGUCCGAUGUGAAAGCCCCGGGCUUAACCUGGGAAUGGCAUUGGAAACUGGCGGGCUUGAGUGUGGCAGAGGGGGGUGGAAUUCCGCGUGUAGCAGUGAAAUGCGUAGAGAUGCGGAGGAACACCGAUGGCGAAGGCAGCCCCCUGGGCUAACACUGACGCUCAGGCACGAAAGCGUGGGGAGCAAACAGGAUUAGAUACCCUGGUAGUCCACGCCCUAAACGAUGUCGACUGGGUGUUCGGGAAGCGAUUUCUGAGUACCGUAGCUAACGCGUGAAGUCGACCGCCUGGGGAGUACGGCCGCAAGGUUAAAACUCAAAGGAAUUGACGGGGACCCGCACAAGCGGUGGAUGAUGUGGAUUAAUUCGAUGCAACGCGAACAACCUUACCUACCCUUGACAUGUCUGGAAGCCUGCUGAGAGGCGGGUGUGCCCGAAAGGGAACCGGAACACAGGUGCCGCAUGGCUGUCGUCAGCUC
rnacentral:rRNA from 1 species